rnacentral:piRNA from 1 species
UGAUUCCAUGACUGUGUGGCCCCAGGAGU